rnacentral:rRNA from 1 species
CAAUCUACCUUUCCGACCGGGAUAACUAGCCGAAAGGUUAGCUAAUACCAGAUACGCUCAUCGAACGGCAUCGUUUGAUGAUGAAAGCAGUAAUGCGCGGAUUGAGGAGCCUGCGGCCCAUUAGCUAGUUGGUGAGGUAAUGGCCCACCAAGGCAACGAUGGGUAGCUGGUCUGAGAGGACGACCAGCCACACUGGGACUGAGACACGGCCCAG